rnacentral:rRNA from 1 species
AGUGAUACGCCUGUUGGGUAGGGGAGCGUUGUGUAAGCGGAAGAAGGUUCAUCGAGAGGUGGGCUGGACGUAUCACAAGUGCGAAUGCUGACAUAAGUAACGAUAAAACGGGUGAAAAACCCGUUCGCCGGAAGACCAAGGGUUCCUGUCCAACGUUAAUCGGGGCAGGGUGAGUCGGCUCCUAAGGCGAGGCUGAAAAGCGUAGUCGAUGGGAAACAGGUUAAUAUUCCUGUACUUGGUAAAGCUGCGAUGUGGGGACGGAGUAGGUUAGGUUAUCGCACUGUUGGAUAUGUGCGUUUAAGUUGGUAGGUGGGAAGUUUAGGCAAAUCCGGACUUCCUUAACACAGAGAGAUGAUGACGAGGCUCUACGGAGCUGAAGUAACUGAUACCACACUUCCAGGAAAAGCCACUAAGCGAAAGGCUUUACUAAACCGUACUGAAAACCGACACAGGUGGUCAGGUAGAGAAUACUCAGGCGCUUGAGAGAACUCGGGUGAAGGAACUAGGCAAAAUAGCACCGUAACUUCGGGAGAAGGUGCGCCGGCGUAGAUUGUAAGGGCUAGCCCCUGAAGGUUGAACCGGUCGAAGAUACCAGCUGGCUGCAACUGUUUAUUAAAAACACAGCACUCUGCAAACACGAAAGUGGACGUAUAGGGUGUGAUGCCUGCCCGGUGCUGGAAGGUUAAUUGAUGGUGUCAUCGCAAGAGAAGCACCUGAUCGAAGCCCCAGUAAACGGCGGCCGUAACUAUAACGGUCCUAAGGUAGCGAAAUUCCUUGUCGGGUAAGUUCCGACCUGCACGAAUGGCAUAAUGAUGGCCAGGCUGUCUCCACCCGAGACUCAGUGAAAUUGAAAUCGCCGUGAAGAUGCGGUGUACCCGCGGCUAGACGGAAAGACCCCGUGAACCUUUACUAUAGCUUGACACUGAACAUUGAAUUUUGAUGUGUAGGAUAGGUGGGAGACUUAGAAGUAGGAACGCCAGUUUCUAUGGAGUCAUCCUUGAAAUACCACCCUUUAACGUUUGAUGUUCUAACGAAGAUGACGAAACGUGGUCUCGGACAGUGUCUGGUGGGUAGUUUGACUGGGGCGGUCUCCUCCCAAAGCGUAACGGAGGAGCACGAAGGUUUGCUAAUCACGGUCGGACAUCGUGAGGUUAGUGCAAUGGUAUAAGCAAGCUUAACUGCGAGACAGACAAGUCGAGCAGGUACGAAAGUAGGUCAUAGUGAUCCGGUGGUUCUGAAUGGAAGGGCCAUCGCUCAACGGAUAAAAGGUACUCCGGGGAUAACAGGCUGAUACCGCCCAAGAGUUCAUAUCGACGGCGGUGUUUGGCACCUCGAUGUCGGCUCAUCACAUCCUGGGGCUGAAGUAGGUCCCAAGGGUAUGGCUGUUCGCCAUUUAAAGUGGUACGCGAGCUGGGUUUAGAACGUCGUGAGACAGUUCGGUCCCUAUCUGCCGUGGGCGU